rnacentral:lncRNA from 1 species
AAAUGUAUAUGAAAUAAAGCAUCCUCUAAGCACAACAUACAUUUGUUUUGUACAGCAACUGCUGAAUAAAGAGCAGGCCUGAAAGAAUUACACUGGUGGAGACUUUGAUGUACGAAUAGGCAGAAGAGCAGAAGAGGAGAACACAUAACUCAGCCCCAGAUUGCACCCUCAAGAAAUCACGUUGAGAUUCCCAACAGAUCCCCAUGGAGCAGGUGGAACCAACCAGGUCCACCAUUUGCUGCCUCUGGCUGGGACAGGAAUGGUGACUGGAGCUGCACCACCAUCAGAAAGGAGCAG